rnacentral:lncRNA from 1 species
ACGGAUGCCAGGCGGCCAUGCUCACUGGGGCCCAGGCCCCGGGUGGCUUAUGGAAUAUAAAUGGUCUGUGCUGGUAGCAGGUGGGGGUAACCUGGUGGGAACAGCUGCCUCUCUAACACAGGCCAGGCCUCAGCUGAGGGGUAAAACUGGUGUCCUCCAGGCAGGGACAGAGGCUGGAAGAGGCAGCCAAAGCGGCUGGGCCUGAGUUCAUGCAGGUCGCCCACACCCCCAGCUCCCACUGACUAGGCGCCCCACUCCACCCCAGGCCCAACCCUGGGAUGCCUUUGGUGAAACGUUGCAAAAUCCUGGCACAGCUCUGCUGGCUCCUAUCUGCAGCGGGUGAGAGGCUGCGACGACCGAGAGUGGAGGCCAGAGGGGAAAGGGCCUCUCCCCACAACAGGCAUCGCCUGCCCCCGCCACUGCCCUGGGAGCACCCAGUCUUGGCCGCUGCAGCCUGUGUGGGCUGGAAGACGAGGUGCAGCAGGUGCCCCUCCCAAGCUGGGAACAGCUGGGGGAGUCCGGUCUGCGGGGAGAUGACGCAGAGCUCCAGCCCAGGGCCUGGGGCGGCCGUACUGGGACAUUGAUUCUGGGUGGCAGCAGGUGCU